rnacentral:miRNA from 1 species
AUUUGUGUGUGUGUGUGUGUAUGUAUGUGUGUGUGUGUGUGUGUGUGUGAUACACACACACACACACAUAUAUAUAUACAUAUAUAUAUAUCAUAUAUA